GACGAACGCUGGCGGCGUGCUUAACACAUGCAAGUCGAACGGAAAGGCCCCUUUGGGGGUACUCGAGUGGCGAACGGGUGAGUAACAUGUGAGUAACCUGCCCUUGACUUCGGGAUAACUUCAGGAAACUGGGGCUAAUACCGGAUAGGAAUCCUUGCUGCAUGGUGGGGGUUGGAAAGCUUCGGCGGUUUUGGAUGGACUCGCGGCUUAUCAGCUUGUUGGUGGGGUAGUGGCUUACCAAGGCUUUGACGGGUAGCCGGCCUGAGAGGGCGACCGGCCACAUUGGGACUGAGAUACGGCCCAGACUCCUACGGGAGGCAGCAGUGGGGAAUAUUGCACAAUGGGCGGAAGCCUGAUGCAGCAACGCCGCGUGCGGGAUGACGGCCUUCGGGUUGUAAACCGCUUUCAGCAGGGGCGAAGCUUGUGGUGACGGUACCUGCAGAAGAAGCACCGGCUAACUACGUG
rnacentral:rRNA from 1 species